CAAAACAUUCUCCUUAGCUCUGGUGGCUUGAUGUUUUACUCGUGCUAUCUUCUACUUUGUUGGGAUUGAAAAGAAAUGAUAUUUCAUAUCACUGAUACCCCACUGCGUUCAGCUAUGAGAGCAGAAUGAUGGUGUCAGAAGUUGGAUCUGGACUAGAGUUUCUAGAGACUCACAGGAGCCUUAAGACCAAGCAAGGUGUUCGCUGGACCCAUUGUGUCCAUUACUCUCUCCCAGCAACUAAGGAUUAUGGGCAGAAUCCUAACCCUCCCCACCAGCAAGAUGACAAAUUCUGAUCCCUGGAACAUGUGACUAUGAGAGACAUCUCUCCCAUGAUUAUAUAUUAUGUGGCACAGCUGACUUUAAGAUAGGAGAUUAUCCCAGAGGCCUGGCCUAACCAUUUGAGAUUUUAAAAGCAGAGAAUUUGUUUCCAGCUGAUGGCUGAAGAAGUCAAAGAGAUUCAAAACAGGAAAAGGAUUCAAUGUGCUCUUGUUGCUUUGAAGAUGGAGGAGGUCACUGAAGAAGGAAUGACAUAUAGCCUUGGGGUGUAGUAGCAGACAUCAAGAUGACAGCCAUCAAUGACACUCCUGUAAGAAACUGGAUUUUCUCAACAACCUGAAUAACCUUGGAAAUAGAUUCUUCCCCAAAGCCUGCAGAUAGCAGUGACACCCAGUGAGUGACACCUUGAUUUUUGCUUUAUAUUGGUCUUAUGGGACCUGGAGCAGACAACCUAAUAAGGCAUACUGGAUUUAUCACUUACAGAACUAUGAGAAAAAAGUGGUAUUGUUUUAAGCCAUGAAAUUUGUGGUAAAUUAUUACAGCAGCAAUGGAAACCAAUAUACUAUGUGAAAAUAUCUUGCAAACAUUAACAUGUUUUCUAAAUUUUAGGCAUUAUAAUUAGAACAUAUAAUCCAUUGGAUCCUCUGUUUUAUUUAAAUUCUUUGUACAUAGAUUAGCCUGGUCUAUUCUAUGACCAAAUGUAGUAUUUCUAAAUACAGUACUUCCUGCAGUUUUCCAAUUUGUAUGUUAUCCUUAUUAACAUGAACUAUUUGAGAGUAAUAACAAGCAAGUGCUAAUCAAUUACUAUUGUGGAAUAACUCAAAUAGUCUAAUCUAAUUAAUGGGACAUAGUAGAACACCAUUAACAACAUAUCUACUUUAUUUUCUAUCCCACAUACCAUAGCAGGGGGCAGGGUAAUUUUCUUAAUAAAUAAUGACAAGUAAUUCUGAUAAAGACACUGACAAUUAAAUUAUGGUGGCAAUAUUCAAAAUUUAAAGAGAAGACAAAUAUACUUCAAAAUUAAUGUAUUUCUAUAAAAGACUUUUAUAGUACUUUUCAAAAUCAAUUGAAUAUUUUAUUAAUUGCAAGUAUGUCAAAUAUAAUAAUCGUUAUUCUGAUAUUCAAAACCAGUUGGUGAAUAUUAUGAAUAUUAAUGAUUUAUAGUGAAAUUUAGUCUCAAUGACUAUGAUUUUUUUUAAAAAGGCUUGAUUUGGAGUAAUACCAUGCAUUUUAAUAUACAGGUGUAGAAUACAUGUUCCAGAUAGUGUGCUGCAAUGGUUAUUUUUCAUGUGAACACACACACGUUUUCUUAGGUUACAGUGUCAGUUUGGGUCCCCUGAGAUGCAAAAGCCAGGCUAACAUUAGAUAAUCAAAAGAAUCUUGAGGAAACACCUGUGAAGGUGAAGCAGGCAGCAGAAGACACAAAGAACCUUCAGAACACAAUUCAACCCUGAUAGCUGUUGAAAUAAGAGAAAAAAGAAAGAAAUGGGAAUCAGUGCCCUGGGUUACAAUACAGGUCUCUGAAUAUUUUGGACCAACCAAUUAGUGGAGAGUUUGAAGCAGAAGUUCAUUCAAGGAAUUCCAUUGUGUGUAUUGCUGGACUCUGUAAUCUCCUCCCUUGGUGAGUAUUUACAAUUUUUGUGUUAUUAUUACCACUCUCUCUUAAUUACUACAGAUUCAUUAUAGAUUAUUUUCUAGGUUUAUUGAGGAAUCAUUGUCAAAUAAAAAUUGUAUAUAUUCAAGGUGUACAUCAUUCAGUACACAUUUAUAUUGUGCAAUUAUUACCACAAUCAAAUUAAUUAACACAGUCUUCACCAUACCCAGUUACUGUGUGUUUGUGUGUGUGUAUGCAUGCGUGUGUGUGUGUGUGUUUGUGGUGAGGUCACUUAAGAUCUGUUUUAGCAAAUAUCCAGUAAACAAUGUUAUUAACUAUAGUCACUGCUGUAGGUUAGAAAAUUGGAAGAUGUUGGUUAUCCAACACAAGCACAUAUCUGGAUAUCUGCUGUUAUCAGUUCUCUACUUCUUUUUCCUGUUGUCCUACCAAUCCUGGCUAUUUAAUUGCUAUGUGAAUUUUAGAAUUAAUUAAUUAAUUAAUUUAGAAUUAAUUUACCAAUUUCUGCAAAUACUCAGCUGAUAUAUGGCUAGUAUUUCAUUCAAGGUACGGAAUAAUUUGGGGAAAAUUGACAUCUCUAUGUUACUGGAUUUUCAAUACAUAAACAUGAAAUAAUUACCUUCCAUUUAGUUAGAUAUAAUUAAUUUUCUCCUCAGUAAUAUUUCAUAGUUUCUUGUAUAAAACACUUGCAUACCUUCCACUACACAUAUUCACAGAAAUUUGGGCUUGUCUUUAUUGUACCUUGCUUGAUAGUGCUCAGCGAAACCAUUCUCUGAUAAACAUCUCCCAAUAAGUAUUAUGAAAUACAGAUGAGAAUCUCCAUCCUCACAACAGUGGGAGUACGAGAUCUAUAUUCACUUGCUUUUUGUUGUUUCUGUUAAUGAAAAUGUCCAGCUGAUAACAUAGGUUGUGGUCCACUGUGUAUGUGGUGAAAACACACUCAGAAUAAAAAAUGAAGAUAUUAUUGAAGAAUCCCAGUGCUACGAUUAUAUAUUUCUCUCCAAAGUUAAAUAUAUAUUCCUCAUAUCAGAAAUGUGUGUAGAUCAGCCAAAUUAAUAAUUGUUUUCUCAUGUGCAAAAAGUUGUUUAUGAAAUAGGUCGAGAUAAGCACAAAACUAAAGAUAUAUUAUAAACUAGGUGAAAUCUUUAUCCCCUAAUCUAUCUCCCUAUUGAAUUGAGCUUGGCUAAUUCUUCCAAUCAAAGUCAGCCAUAAGGAUAAUUUCUUGAAAAUGAUGUGGUAGUAUUAUUUAAAUAAUUACCUGUCUGUGUUCUAGAAUGUUGUAGAUUGCAGAACUAUAAACUCAAUUCUGUUAUCAAAUUCAUGUUAGUAUAAUUAAUCCUCAGUUGUGAAAUUUCUUUUUUUAGCCACAAAUAAAUUAAAAUUAUGAACAAAUAUGUUUCUUCAAGAGCUCAUCUGAAAAAAAAUGUUGGCGUGACUACAUAAGAAUCACCUAAGACUGUUUGCCGCUGCUUGCAUCUCCUCCUUUCAAACAUAGGGGUAAUGUAUAUUUGACAAAUGUAAAAGACUUUUUUGUCUAAGAAAAAAGGAAAAUAAAACUCUUUCUCCAAAAGGAGGAAAAAAAUUGGCAUCAGAAAAUAACAUUUUGCUGUGACUACAUAUUCAAAAUGGAACUGAAGUUAUCAGCUUAUUCAGGACAAGAACUUGGAACUUAUUGAGCUGUGGGCGGCUGGAUUGAAAGAGCUGUAACACACUCCUGCUCGCCAGACUACAAGAGAGAGCUGUAACAUGCUCUGGCUGAGCUACGAGAGUGAAGAGCUGCAACUUUUCUUGGGGGUUCAAACCUUGGGACUCCCCAAGCAAGAGCUGUAACACCCCUUGGGGCUCGGUGAUUGCUGAUUGCUGGCAUCUCGGAGGUUUUGGGCACCAAUACCUUCCCCUAUUUUAGACUAUGGUGCCCUGUGCAGAAGCCACUCAAAGCAUGCCUGAUUCAGCCUCAAGCUGAGCAUAGAGCCAAGGCAGUCAAGGGAUCCGGCCCAGGGAGUGAACUGACUGCAGGCUGCUGGGCUGAGCAGACAGAGCAAGUCCAGGUGGCCCUAGAAAGGCCAGGGCAGAGGCAGUGGCGGCCACAGAGAUUUCCAGCUGGCAAAGUGGCACCAAAGGAAUCCUGUAACAAUAUGAGACCCACCAUAGUCAUCUUUUCUUUUCUUUUCUUUUCUUUUUUCUUUUGUUUUCUUUUUAUCUGCCAGGACAAUUGGGCAUAAUACAGAUGAAGGCUGUUCUACCGUUUUUUUGUUACAGAGUAAUGAUGACAGAGAAAAGAGUCAGCUGACCAACAAUGAAAACACAGCCAGAGCAGAAAAUAAGCCUUUGUGGCAAGUGACUGAAUUUUGUUGUUAUUACAUAAGUAUUGCCUAAUAACUUCCAACUAAAAUAAUACUGCAGAUAUGAUUCUUCUGAUUUAUGACUUUUGCCUGAACGAUAUUAUGGUUGUUUAAAAUAAUUCACUUGGGGGACACAUGCAGUCAUUAUAUAAAAGCAAGUUGUGUAUAAAGAUCUCAUUUUGUGACAUAAUAGUUGCAUAAAAUGAGAAAACUCUAAAAGUUUUGUUAUACUGUACUCAGUUUCAUAACCGUAAAUAAAUUAUGUUUUUCACAAUGUUAUUGUUAUGAUGAUGGAAGAUAAUUAAUUAUUUUCUUGUAUAUAGAAGCACCUAACCACAUUAGGCAAUACAGUAAAGCCUACUGAAUAUGUCAAAAUAAGUAAUUCUUAUUUGUCACCAACCAUCUAUUUGAAUAAAUAUGGCCAGUCAUGAAAAAGAUAAAUUGAAAUAUCAUGAAUAUUACUGCAUACAAUAUUUGUUACAUAUUUCAUCCUGUUUUUCCACAAAGGUAUAAACUAAUACAAAUCUGGCACAGUCAAUACAUUUUCUCAAAUGUUAAAGUAUUUAUUUAUCCUUGUAGAGCAUUUGAAUAUAAAGUUUCUUCUCAUUUCCUGAGUUCUUCACUAUGAUGCAUUUACAAAAUAAUUACUGUCAAAAGCUUCAUCUGACAAGAGUGACUUGGAGUGGUAAAAUUCUGCUACAAUAUUUAUUUAAUGAUCUCUGACACCUACUCAGAGCAAGUGUUUUGGAAUAUCCCAACACUUGCUUUUGAAUCUCCCAAACUGAAAUCUGACACUUAUUAAUGAGUUAUUUUAUGAAUGAAUUUUUAAUGAGAUUUCUAAUGAAUUAUUUAUUUUCUGAAUCUGUAUUUUUCACAUAGGAAAUGAAGAAAAAUUUCACAAACUUAAUGUGUUAGUUACAAAACUGUCAUCUAAUAGGUCUUAAUUUAUCUGUACUGUAUAAGUUGCAAAAAGCAAUCUUUAUUUUCUACAUAGUAUUGCUUACAUCAGUAAUUCAAUUAAUAUAGCAAUUGCUACUCCUUAUUGGCUGAUGCUGUCUCAGUUUUAAUACUGUAACUCCCAGAAACCAAAGAAAUUUCUAUAACUCAGCACACUAAAUAAGUAUCAAUAGAUAUUAUGUGUUCUUCUCUUUAAGAAGCCUUAAUUUCACAUAUAUACAUAGUACUGUACUGACUGAAUUUUAUCUCUCAUUAGGCUCUUGCAUGUGGCCCCUCAUUUUGAUAGCAAAAUAAUUUAUUUUAACUUAAACCUGAGACUAUUCUGAUUAUUAGUGCUUUGCCUAAUUUUCAGCAUCAUUCUUUCAAAAGCUUGAUUUAUGAUUGGAAAAGGGGCCUGCAUUGUGUGUUAAUUAUUCAUAUUUGAGAAAACACAUUUUGAAAGUGUUUAUUUUUAAGCUAAGAGAAGUUAAUUUACAAAUAAUAAUAUAUUUAAUUGAUUUUGAGCCACUUUGCCUGGGGUGGGCUCCGGGAAGAAGUACUUUCAGAAAUGCUCAAUUGAUUUUAUUAUUAUGCAAAUUUGAGAAACUAUGCCCAGGAAGAUAAUCAUUUCAAUUUUUAACAAAUAUACUUAUAUUAUUUAUUUGCCAUAAAAGUGUCAUAAGAGAAAUGUUGCCCUUGUUUAAAACACUACUUAGUGAUAAAGAAGAACAAAAUUUUGUCAGCUGUAAUAUGGAUUAGCUUGUGGGCUGUUAAGUGAAAUAAGACAGGUACACAAAGAUAAGUAUCACAUAUCCUCUCUCCUAUGUGGAAGCUCCAAGAGCUGAUCUCACAGUAGUAGAGAAUAUAAUAGUGGUUACUAGAGGCUGGGAAGAGAAGAGUAUGUUGGGCAUAGCUGGAGAUUGAUUAGUGAACGUAAACGUACAGCUAGAUAGCAGAAAUAAGUUCUCAUGUUCCAUAGCACUAUUUAGUGACUGUAAUAAACAACAACCAAUGGCAUAUUUUCAAACAGUUAGAAGAGCAGAUUUGAAUAUUCUCAACACAAAGAAAUAAUAAAUGUUUGAAGAGAUGGAUUGCUAAUUACUCUGAUUUGAUUGAUACACAUUGCAUAUAGGUUUUGAAAUAUCAUCUUGUACCUCAUAAACUAUUACUAUUAUUAGUAGUAGUAAACUAGUACUAUUAUUGUCAAUUAAAAAUAAUUUUAAAGAAGUUGUCAGUAUAAUACAUUAAAGAUGUUUGUCGACUCCUAUAAAUGCUCUGAAAACAUAAGAAAAUGUAUAGUUUGUUAUAUUGGUCCUCUUAUAUCCUUUUGAAAGCACAAUAUUUUGCAUUUAUAAAAUAAUAAAACUUAAAUGUGAACAUAUAUACAUUUCUGCUAUUUUCAUUUGAUUCAUAUCAAUGUCGAGGAGAACUCAUAAAUUUGUACAUGACUUUUUGCCACAUGUCUUGGACGCUAAUAAAUGAUUUAAGACAGUAUAAAAAUGCAACUAAUUUAAAUAAAUAAACACUAAAAAUAAGCUCU